UCUGCCAGUCAUGCUCAUCACACUGUAGUUUGCACACACGUCACACAGAGACACUGUUAAUAUAUGCACAUUUGUGUGCUUGAGUGGGGUUGCACUCAAGAUUCUGUGAUUGUACGGAGCCCUGAGUUAUGCCCUGGACAUCUUUACUCUCGGGUUGGUCAACUUGGAUCACUGCACCGAACGAGAAAUGGAGCCUGAAAUCCAAUCAGCGAAUACACAAAAGGAAGGGGCCAUUUCCCACAAUCAUUUCCACUGCAACACCACCUUGCAUGGACAAGUCUCAUUGCAGGUCAGGGACUGUGCUUCAGAGAUGCACCUUUCGCAGCUGGACGAUUGACCCGGAAUCUCCCAAAUGCCAUUUUUAUACACACCAAAUGAGAUUUAUUUCAGUGCUUGCUGAUUUUAUUUUAGUUGAAUACACACACACUCCUGUGUUUGAUUUCCUUUAUUAUCAGUACGACUUACUUCCAAAUGACUCACAUACCAGUGGGAUGAUUUUCCACUUCAAUUCAUUGGAAAUGGACAGCAUUCAAUAGGCAAGUGUGUCUGUCUGUCUGUCUGCUUCCAGCAUUCUGUGGGUUCCACCAAGGGCACAAGUCCUAGGGCGCCUGAGGUCCGUUCAACAAGCAAUGUAAAAACGGCGAGGCAGGUUCAUAAGAAGAACACCCUUCCUCCCUUCAAAUGCGUUCCAGUUUCCACUACUCAAGGUGGCGAGAAUGAUCCACAGAUGUCCCACGUUUGCACAAUUUCAACUUCUGGUGCUCACCAACAACUAACGAAUGAAACACACCCCAAGAGAAAAUGGUCAACCCAGUCACCUGCAAUAACCUCACAUGCAACCCUACAGCGCAAUAUGUCGUAUUCAGAAAUUCACACUGAAUGUCAUCUACCAUGAACACAAACACACAGACAAUCCCUCCACAGGUUCAGAAGACUCACGACUCCAAGACUUGAUGUUUCCCAUGUCUGGGCUCAUCCUGAAACGCAGCCAUCACUAUCCAGUUGUCCCUCUUGUAUAGACAGAAACCUGGGCUCCUCAUUAUUUUAUGUAGGAUUGACUGUGUAUGCGAUGGUGUGUGUGUGUGUGCGCUCGUGCGAACCCGCUCGUGGGUGUGUGUGUGUACGUGUAUGUGUGUGUGAGUGUGUGCACGUGCACUCCUGCGUGUGGGUGGAGACUUUCCCUGAGAUCACUGGCACACAAACAGAGCCCUCUUGCUGUGUUUGUUCUUCCCUUUGGAUCUCCUGGUCCUCCCUUGCAGAGAAGUGAGUGUGCCAGUGUUCAUGGACUCCUGAUGUGUCACAUUUGCGUUAGUUUACUUAAAACAUUGCUAGGGAAUAAUUCUGUACUUACAAAACAGUGUGUGUGUGUUUGUGUGUGUGUGUUUGCUUGUGUGAGCUUGUGGGCAUGCACAAUCAUGCCCGUGUGAGUGUUUCUUUGUGUGUGUUUAUAUGUCUGGGUGUGUGUGUGUUUGAGCUGGGAUGUGCUUCCAACUAUGUGCUUUUGGCAGAUACGAUCAUCCUUUCAGGCAUUGAAGGACAGGAAGUCGGACCUGUACUUUCUGACUUGAGAAUCGUCAAUGAAGUACAGUUAAUAACACAGCGUAUUUGUUUCCUUAAUAUCAAAGAAGAGAUCCAUGCAGUCAAAUAGAUAUUCCAUCGAUAACCUUUCCAUGUUCAGCCUAUUGAUUCUGUAUCUGAGUGAAAUGACUUGCCAGUGGGAACAAGACAUGCCUUUGCAGGAAAUGCCCUUGUGGAAGCUAUAUACCCAAAUCAUAAAGCAUCAAGUGUUGGAAACAUGCACUGAAGUUAGACGAAAUACUCAGUGCACAAAUUAGACUGUGAAAGACUUUCAGGAAAUCAUGCAAUCACCGACAUACCAAAUGAUGACAUUCCCCGAAUUUAUGAUUGCAAGAAAAGAGAAAUACUCAUGACAUUCUAUUUCCAGUGACUGCGGACGUAUGACGGCAAUUUAAGAAAUCAUGAAAUCAGAAAACUUGAGUAAUCACAAUCUAUGCCAACUAAAACCUUUGGUUCAUUUAAGAAAGGAUGAAAAUAAAAACAACAUAUCACACAGCAUGGGAGAUAAUAUUUUAAUACCUAUGUGAUAAUGGAUCAACAUUUGAGAGAGAUGAAAUAAAAAGUUCUAAAUUUGAGAAUAGCAUAUAACCAGAAUUAAACACUGUAAAUGCCUGGGUGAUGGGAGUGAGUCCCUGUCUCAAGAAGAAACAUAGAGAUUUAAAAGCAGGGCGUCUAAAAGAGAUUUGCAUACCAUUGUUAAUACUGGCAGUUGUUUUAGUAAGAAAGGGAAAAAUAAACCAUUUGUCUUAGGGAUUCUUGCAUCUAUUUUUCAUCAUCUGAGAUGUUGCUUCCAGUUCCAGUUAAGCAUUGUGUGGUGGACUUGCUGUUACCACAUUUGGUGGAAAAUGUCAUGCUGAUGAAGGUAGACUUGUUUCCCAAACUAAGAGGGACAGAAUUUGGGUGUUUCUUUGGGACUUUUGGCUUACUAGGAAUAAAGAUCCUGGCUCUAGGGAUUUUCUUAAAAUUUUUCAGAUAAUGAGAAAGAGAAUAGAAUUUAGGCCAGGCGCCAAGGCCUCGAGGUGUACAGAAGCAUCCCCGGUCUCGGGGCCCAUGAAAUCAGGAUGAUUUUAGGGAGGAUGGUGGAAUGAGGGGAGCGUGACCUUUGGCCUCCUUUCUUUCCCUUUUCUUUUCAUGGAUCAGGUGUGCUCUAUCAGAAGGCUUCCCCUUUCUGUUAGACAGAGUUCUGGAAGAAGAAAUGAACACUGCUGAGAAAGAUGUUCCACAAGGAGGAAGGAGUCACCGUUUUCAGGAGCAUGAUCCCCAGAAGCAUGAGCAAUCCAGAUGCCAUGGCUUUACACAGGAUGCUGGAGUUUCUUUCCUCUGGAUCCAGGACCUUGGCAUCGGUGUUCUGUAAUGCCCAUAACUGAAUUUGAGGUAAGAUCGGAUGGAGAGCAGAACUACCUGAGACACUUUUGAGGGACAGGCAUGUAGGAACUGCUGCAAUUUGAGGUCAGAACAAGAUGAAGAUAAUUUAUUAGUUCAGGAAGAAUCUGCAUUCUGAAUAUGAAUAGAAGUUCACACUACAGAUGGGCAGACACAUGCCCUCCCAAUUCCUGAUGGACCUCCUAGUGCCUCCUAGACCUAAGGGGUCUCCUGCAAUUUUCCAAGAUGCCACCAAGGCAGGGAUCCACUUGUGCAUGCCUGAGAGCAUUCAGGAUGAAGUGAGGCUCUGGAAAAAUGCAUGAGUUUCCACAUAAUCCCCAAAAACCUUACAGGUGAACUGGAUGCCACAGAAACAGGAGUGGUCAUUGACAUAACAAAGUCACCAAAAUUGUUUUGAAGUCAAUUAGGAAACCCAGGAAUCACUCUUGCUGCCAUUAAGUGGAAGAACAGGAGCCUGUGAAUGGCAUCCAUGUCCUGCCUGAGACUCCACAGAUAUUUCUACGUGGCUUCAGGUACCAGGAAUCUCCGUGAUUUUCAGAAAGGCAGGGACAGCUUAUGCCAGCCCAUCCCUCUGCAGAAUGUGCCCCAGCGGAUCAGAGGCAUGGAACCAUCAUGGACUGCACAAAGGCUCAAGGGCAGCUUCCCAGACCUGCCUGUGACUCUAGGUAAGUUCUGAGUCCAUGGGGUGCCCAGGAGAGGUUAAUGAUGACCUGGAAAGAUGGGACAAGCAGACACCACCCCUAAACAAUCUGCAGGAUUCCAACUUCAGCAGGAAGCCAAGGACCAGCUCAUGCCACACUAGUGCACCUUGAAAACCCCUGGAUGCAAUGCCGCUCUGCAGAGAGUUCAACAGAGAAGUGGCUGGGAAUUUUGCAUUCUAGGCUGCAUUUUACAGUGCUUUUGGACACGUGAUCAGAAAUUUAACAUUGGUAUAUCUAACUCUGACAUUUUUCACGACAUGGUUUUUAAAAAUGAGGUAAUAUAGACAAAAUGUAAUAUGACCAUAUGUAUUAUAUGCCAAAAUAUGCUUCACUGGCAUCAAGUAGACUCACCUUGAAAUCGAAUCUAGGACAACCUCCAUCUUCAGAAUAUUUUCUUUUCCAGAGUGAAACUCUCCCACCAAAAACCAACAAAAUCAUAGGUUUUCGACUCCAACAAACUGACAGAAAACCAUUAUAUUUAUUCUACCACCGUGAAAUGGACUGCGGUGAAACACAGAUGAAGAAAGUCAAAACCACUUUGUUCUUCAGUGUCUGGCUCCUUCUCCACCUCCUCCUGUGACUCCAGGCAUUAUGCCUGAAGAGUCUCCAGGACACCAGUGGGGCUCUAUUUCCUUGGGUCCCCUUGUCAUUUCUCUGGAUUUGCGAAGAUCCAGUGGACUUUCUGUGGAACUCUCAUGUCGGGGAACUUUGGUUGCAUCUGCUGAAACUCCAUUCCCCUUGGAAUUGCGCUUCAUUAAUUAUUCAUGAUUCAGGUGGGAACACCUGCUUAAAACCCCCUGUGGCAGUUCUCUGAGCUUUCCGGUCACAUCAUUUCCUGCCACGCUCUUUGGUUCAUUUUGGUCAUGCUCCUUUUGCUGUCAGAGGAGCAGAGAGUUGAUCUUGUUGAUUCUGGAUACUGAUACUUUCUAGGUGGUCUGGAUAAUCAAGGUAACGACCCUGAACCGUGGCGGAAAGGGAACAGCCAUUUGGCGUCGCUCAGACAAUCCCGCUCAGAUCGGAGGCCUCCUAGAUGUGGAAUCCUGGUCAGAAUUGUUCCCGGGUCAGAGAACGGAGAUAGCCUGUGCAUGAUGGGAUACCUUUACCUAGAGCUUUCAGUGAGUCUCCACCUCAGCUACUCUUAGGAUCAGGGGGAGAAGCAUGGAAAGGCCCGGUGCUCAGGCAUCCGGAAAGAAGACGAGAUGAAUAUUCUACCUCUGAAGUACAUCCCAAAUCUGGGAGUUUACUUCAGCUUUACUGGGUUCUACUUGGCGAAUGAAACUGUGCCUCAUUCAUACGCACAUCCGGAAACCACUUCAUGGGGGCCGUCACAGUUUGAACCCCACACGUGGCAUCACGGUGAGCCAAAUGGGGACUCGUGGUGCAAGUGACGCUCCCCACGUGUUAGCGUGCGUGAGAUUCACUUGGCGGAAUAUGACUAGGUGCGUGUUGGUAGAGUGGGGUUGAGGUUCUCUAGCCCCUGUGGAUGUUUAAGAAGUCAAAGGUCCUGCCAAGUCCUGCGGUCCCCUCAAUGAACUCUGUUUCGGAAACAUAAUGACUUGGAUUGCUAACAAGUCAAGAAAUUUUCAAGCCCUUGGAAAAUCAGUUACACACAAACACGGAGUGAAAGUCAAAAGAGAGUACGUCAUCUUUUUGAGAAUUUUAUUCACUUCAAAACAAAUUAAACACACCUAUUUCCAAUGGCAUUCCACUGCCCAAUUUUCGAGGCUGAGGAAACACCCCAAGAACGCUUUGCACAGAAAGCUUCACAGCGUCCAAAACACUGCUGUCAGGGCGGGGCACAGCUGAAGGCCUGCAUCUCUCAGGGUUCCCUAACUGUUCCCUGAUUCAGUCAUCUAGAGAGCAAAUGCACAGUCAUUCCCCAGUUUCCUACUGACAUCACAGCGGAAGUCUGACUGCUGCAGGUCACCCAGUUUCUGAGGCAACGAAUCACUGGCACAGAAGCUUCUCGUGGUGGGUUUCCAGAGAGCCCUGUGAACUACAAUGUACCUCACCAGAAUUCAAUGAGGCAGAGUCUCUGCAUGUGGUCUCUGCCUGGCCUGGGCUCCAACAUCCACAGAAGCACCACAGCUGGGGAGCUUGGGAGUCACCACGCACAGUCUGCUCUCUGCUCUGUGCUCCUCAGUCCCACGGUCCCGUCCAAGCCAUGGGAGCUGGAAGGCACGGAGCCCCUGCCACCUGCAGUCUCACUCCAGGUCAGAAUCGCUGUCCUCUGAGGAGGAGGAAACC